rnacentral:tRNA from 1 species
GGCGCAUUCGUCUAGUGGUCUAGGACGCUGGCCUCUCACGUCGGCAACAGGGGUUCGAGUCCCCUAUGCGCUACAA